CGCGUUCCGUUGGGGACCGUAUGGCGUACAGUAUGGCAUACUUCCCCCGAAUCGGGGGGGACCAGCAUACGGCUCGCCUUGCGGGAGCGUGCGGGACCUUGCGCUCCUCGGAGGUGAAUGCUUGGCGGUGUCUGGCAACUAUUGUUUAUCAACAAACCGCAGACGUCCGCCGCUUCACCACUAUAUUAUCAGUGUGGGGGAUGUAAAUGCUAUUUUGACAGCUUAUGCGACGUCACAGAACAUCAAAACAAUGUGGGUCCCCCAAUGCGGAGGUGUCUCUGGCGUUUCCCCUCUACCAGCUGGGGUAAUCUGAGCAGGACCAAAGCCGCGCCACGCCCUCAGGACUGACAAGGCGGAAGGUGAAGUUCUCCAUGCUCUCCCAUUGAAUAAUUGACGCACGCAGAGACGAGGGGAGGCACAGGAGACGCAUCAGGAAUUCCCACAUGUUCGGC